UGGCGGCAUGCCUUCCCAUGCAAGUCGAACGGCAGCACAGGAGAGCUUGCUCUCUGGGUGGCGAGUGGCGGACGGGUGAGGAAUGCAUCGGAAUCUACUCUUUCGUGGGGGAUAACGUAGGGAAACUUACGCUAAUACCGCAUACGACCUACGGGUGAAAGCCGGGGACCUUCGGGCCUGGCGCGAAUGAAUGAGCCGAUGCCCGAUUAGCUAGUUGGCGGGGUAAGAGCCCACCAAGGCGACGAUCGGUAGCUGGUCUGAAAGGAUGAUCAGCCACACUGGAACUGAGACCUCGUUCUCCGACUUCUUUCGGGUGCGCACUUGGGGGUAUUUUCUCGACAAUCCGGGCCCAAGCUUGAUUCCAAGCCAUAAUCGAGCUGGGUGAAGAAUGGUCUUUCGGCUUCUAAUCGCCCUUUUUUCUGGGAAAAGAAAAAGCCAGCCCGUCUACUACUCCGUUUGUUUCUGACGUUACCCAAAGACUAACCACCUGUUUGAUCUUACUGCCCCGCAGCCGCCGGUAAUAAGAAAAGGUGCCAGCCUUACUCGGAAUAACUAGGCGUAAAAGCGUGCGUAGGUGGUUGUUCAAGUCUGUUUUGAAAGCCUUGGGCUCUACCCUGGGAAUUGCGAUGGAAAGUGGGCGACUAGAGUGUGGCAGAGGAUAGUGGGAAUUCCUGGCGUAGCAGUGAAAUGUGUAGAGAUCAGGAGGAACAUCCCGCGGCGAAGGCGACUGUUUGGGCCAACACUGACACUGAGGCACGAAAGCGUGGGGGAGCAAACAGGAUUAGAUACCCCGGUAGUCCACGCCCUAAACGAUGCGAACUGGAUGUUGGGUGCAAUUUGGCACGCAGUAUCGAAGCUAACGCGUUAAGUUCGCCGCGUGGGGGAGUACGGUCGCAAGACUGAAACUCAAAGGAAUUGACGGGGGCCCGCACAAGCGGUGGAGUAUGUGGUUUAAAUUGAUGCAACGCGAAGAACCGUUAUCCUGGCCUUGACAUGCACGGAGCCUAUACAAUAGAUGGAUUGGUGGCUUUCUGGGACCAGUGACAACAAGUGCUGCAUGGCUGUCGUCAGCUUCUUUUCGUGAGAUGAUAGGAGUAGGCCGCCAACAGACGCGCAGCCCUUGUCCUUAGUUGCCAGCACGUAAUGGUGCGGAACUCUAAGGAGACCGCCGGUGACAAACCGGAGGAAGGUGGGGAUAGACGUCAAGUCAUCAUGGCCCUGUACGGCCAGGGCUACACACGUACUACAAUGGUGGGGACAGAGGGCUGCAAGCCGGCGACGGUAAGCCAAUCCCAGAAACCCCAUCUCAGUCCGGAUUGGAGUCUGCAACUCGACUCCAUGAAGUCGGAAUCGCUAGUAAUCGCAGAUCAGCAUUGCUGCGGUGAAUACGUUCCCGGGCCUUGUACACACCGCCCGUCACACCAUGGGAGUUUGUUGCACCAGAAGCAGUAGCUUAACCUUCGGGAGGGCGCUGCCUACGG
rnacentral:rRNA from 1 species